GACGAACGCUGGCGGUGUGCUUCACACAUGCAAGUCGAACGGAGUAGCAAUACUCAGUGGCGGACGGGUGAGUAACACGUGGGAAUCUACCAUUAGGUGGGGAAUAACAGGCCGAAAGGACUGCUAAUGCCGCAUAUGUAGGCAUCUCGACAGAGAUGUUUAUGAAAGGAGUAAUCCGCCUUUUGAUGAGCCCGCGUCCGAUUAGCUAGUUGGUAGGGUAAAAGCCUACCAAGGCGACGAUCGGUAGGUGGUCUGAGAGGAUGAUCACCCACAAUGGGACUGAGACACGGCCCAUACUCCUACGGGAGGCAGCAGUGGGGAAUUUUACGCAAUGGGGGAAACCCUGACGUAGCGACACCGCGUGAGCGAAGAAGCCCUUUGGGGUGUAAAGCUCUGUCAACAGGAACGAAACAAAUGACGGUACCUGUGGAGGAAGCAUCGGCUAACUACGUGCCAGCAGCCGCGGUAAGACGUAGGAUGCAAGCGUUGUCCGGAUUUAUUGGGCGUAAAGAGUUCGUAGGCGGUUUGUUAAGUCUGAUGUUAAAGACCGGGGCUCAACCUCGGAAAUGCAUUGGAUACUGGCAGACUGGAGUGCAGUAGAGGCUAGUGGAAUUCCCAGU
rnacentral:rRNA from 1 species